UCCUCCACUGUGCAGUGCCUAGCCGACUCCUUCCUUUGUCCUAGGUUCCCUCUUGUUGCUGGAUCCGAACCCUAACUCCUCUGGGUUGGGUUGUGGUCAGCCUACCCGACUGGUAAUUUUUCCUACUGCGCCACCAGCUGCCUUCUUCCUGCUUCGCCACCAGCUGCCGGCAGAGAGAAAAACAAGGGCUAUCGAGUUGGCAGCUUCUCCGGAUCUUGGCAGUAAGUUCUAUAGGUUUUGAGCAGUGUUGAGGCAUCAGGGAAUUUGGGUAAGGUUGGUGUUAAGUUAAUUACUGUUGAGGUGAGUAUGGGAAGAUGAACUUGAUGAUUUCGAUAGUUUGAGCUAUUGGUAUUACUUUUGUUAUGUAAGCAUAGGGUUAAUUAUAUUAAAUCCUGUGUAGACCUUAUAUGGUGAUUUCCUUUGCAGACAUUGUUGGAGAAAGCCCUAAUCGCUGUGAUCUUCCUUUUGUGUGAUCCAGAGGACCUUGACGCGAGACAAGUUUCUUAACGUCCGGAUUUGGACUGAUUGGAUCUUUCCUAUU